CAGGUCUGUGAUGCCCUUAGACGUUCUGGGCCGCACGCGCGCUACACUGACGGAGCCAGCGAGUCUAACCUUGGCCGAGAGGUCUUGGUAAUCUUGUGAAACUCCGUCGUGCUGGGGAUAGAGCAUUGUAAUUAUUGCUCUUCAACGAGGAAUUCCUAGUAAGCGCAAGUCAUCAGCUUGCGUUGAUUACGUCCCUG
rnacentral:rRNA from 1 species